UUUCAGUUUACAAAGAUGUUCUUCUGCGUUCUUCUUCUUACGGCUGCUUCCUCACCUUCGACUUUCCCUUGAUUAAUCCACACCUCCUUCAAAUCAAAUUAACGGAAUAUAUCACUCUGAUUUCUGAAGCGAGAGCGAAUCAAAGAAUACGCAGAAUUUUAGGGUUCGGACGCUCAUUCCUUGUCCCGAUUUCUAAUCAUUUUCCCGAUCCGACGAGAGGAUGAAGAAGACGCAGCAUCAAAAACAUGGGCGCUAAUUCGGUUCUAUCGGAUGCAACACUCGAUCUAGAUGAGCAGAUCUCGCAGCACGUGCAGUGCAAGCCUCUCUCCGAGAAACAAGAUAGCUUGAUUUGCUCUCACGCAAGAUGGGGAUUUUUUGGCCACGGCCCAGAUCAACGGAUACUCUGAUUCCGCUCUUUAAUACUAUCGAUGUCACCUUGCGGCAAGAGGUACCACUAAGCCAUUUACGGUUUUAACUUAAUAGAAAGUUUUGAACUUUGUGGAAUAAUUAUAUCACAGAUCUGGUCUUUAGUAUAUUAUUUUCUGUGGAUUCCUUUCUUUUAUGCACCUCAAAUCCGAAAAUUUUAGAUGGUAGUCAUGAGGGUGUAACAUGUUGAUUAAAAAGGAUGCAUAUUUUGCUUAGUGAGAUCAAUAUGGUAAUAGUCUGAUAUGACCACAUUAGACGGUUAGGUUCAUGUAUAAAUCCAUGGCCAGAUCAACUGUUGAUACGGAACCUGUGAUGAUACAUCUUGCAGUUAUUUACUUCCCAAAGACUCUCAUGGUAUAUAAAUAUACGGGUGAGGAUCCCACCCUUUAAUUCCUAAUUUUGAUAUUCAAGUUAGACCGACGUGCUCUUCCUCUUAACAUGUCAACCAAAUCUUUACACUAACUUAUUCACAAGGAGCAAUGACAAUCCAGACAAUGAUAUGCCAGCUGCUGGAGCUGUUAAACUUACACCAUCAAUGGACCAAACCGUUGUGUUACUCUGAACAGCACAUGAUUCAGUACUAAUCUGCUGGUUGAAGACCACCCAGGAGAGGGUUCUAAACCACAUGAGCUCCCUGUUAUACCUGAGAUGUCCUCAAGAGGAAUCCCAAAUCCCCAGAAGUGGAGUUAGGACACUCUUUCAAAAAACUACGCAAUUAUUAGUAUUCAGAGUAUGUGAGUUCAUAAUAUUGUUGUGGACUAUAACUGCUGCUCUACUUUAAGUUGUAAAAAGAAUUCCUCUAAACAAAUAAAUAGUGUACGUUAGCUCUUUCAA